rnacentral:rRNA from 1 species
CCUACGGGUGGCAGCAGUGGGGAAUAUUGGACAAUGGGCGAAAGCCUGAUCCAGCCAUGCCGCGUGUGUGAAGAAGGCCUUCGGGUUGUAAAGCACUUUCAGUGGGGAAGAAAGCCUUGGGGCUAAUACCCUCGAGGAAGGACAUCACCCACAGAAGAAGCACCGGCUAACUCCGUGCCAGCAGCCGCGGUAAUACGGAGGGUGCGAGCGUUAAUCGGAAUUACUGGGCGUAAAGCGCGCGUAGGCGGUCUGAUAAGCCGGUUGUGAAAGCCCCGGGCUCAACCUGGGAACGGCAUCCGGAACUGUCAGGCUAGAGUGCAGGAGAGGAAGGUAGAAUUCCCGGUGUAGCGGUGAAAUGCGUAGAGAUCGGGAGGAAUACCAGUGGCGAAGGCGGCCUUCUGGACUGACACUGACGCUGAGGUGCGAAAGCGUGGGUAGCAAACAGGAUUAGAUACCCCAUAGUC